AAUGAGCUUAACGCCUUGAAAACACACAUGCACCGUCACAUGGUCCCGGGUGCCGUCGACGAUUCGCCUUUCGAGGUCGAUCUCGCGGUCGGAUCCAUGGGGUGCGUGGAGGCCUAACC
rnacentral:sRNA from 1 species